rnacentral:rRNA from 1 species
CAAUAGCGUAUAUUAAAGCUGUUGCAGUUAAAAAGCUCGUAGUCGGAUUUCGGGCGGCGGCCAAUGGUUCGGCUCCGUGCCGAUACUGCUGGUCGCGGCCUCCACGCCGGUCGUCUUUCGGUGCUCUUAAUUGAGUGCCUUAAGUAGCCGGAGCGUUUACUUUGAAAAAUUAGAGUGUUCAAGGCAGGCCUCGAGCCUGAAUGAUGGUGCAUGGAAUAAUGGAAUAGGACCUCGGUUCUAUUUUGUUGGUCUUCGGAACUGGAGGUAAUGAUUAAUAGGGAUAGUUGGGGGCGAUUCGUUAUUUAACUUGUCAGAGGUGGAAAUUACUUGGAUUUGUUUAAAGAACGGACUACUGCGAAAGACAUUUGUCCAA